rnacentral:rRNA from 1 species
CCUACGGGAGGCAGCAGUGGGGAAUAUUGGGCAAUGGGCGAAAGCCUGACCCAGCAACGCCGCGUGAAGGAAGAAGGUCUUCGGAUUGUAAACUUCUUUUAUGAGGGACGAAGGACGUGACGGUACCUCACGAAUAAGCCACGGCUAACUACGUGCCAGCAGCCGCGGUAAU